UACGAAAGGUCCAAGCGUUACUCGGAAUUACUGGGCGUAAAGCGUGCGUAGGCGGUUCUCCAAGUCCGUUGUGAAAGCCCCGGGCUCAACCUGGGAAUGGCAGUGGAAACUAGGGGACUGGAAUCUGGCAGAGGGGGGUGGAAUGCCGCGUGUAGCAGUGAAAUGCGUAGAGAUGCGGCGGAACACCGAUGGCGAAGGCAGCCCCCUGGGCUGAGAUUGACGCUCAGGCACGAAAGCGUGGGGAGCAAACAGG
rnacentral:rRNA from 1 species